rnacentral:rRNA from 1 species
AUGGAUGUAGUCAACAUCAGUUUUGUUUUCACAAAAUAUAAGAGCUGGAGGUGGAGUCUUUUGAAGGCACUCAAGGAGGUAUAUAAUUCUGGCAUCUUCCUUGACAUACUCAACUUCUUGAAUGACAUCAAGAUUUGCUGCUCCAGCUCUUCCAACAUUGACAACAACUGGCUUCACGAGGGCGCUCAUUGCGAAGUUCUGAAUCUUCUUCGGCAUAGUGGCAGAAAAAAGAAGGGUUUGCCUUGGUGCCUUGAAAUUAUCUUUUACCUUGAAAUGGUUAAGAACCUCCCGAAUGUCAUCCUCAAACCCAAGAUCAACAAGCCUGUCAGCUUCAUCUAA